rnacentral:rRNA from 2 species
CGGGAGGCAGCAGUAGGGAAUCUUCCACAAUGGACGAAAGUCUGAUGGAGCAACGCCGCGUGAGUGAUGAAGGUUUUCGGAUCGUAAAACUCUGUUGUUAAAGAAGAACAAGUGUUAGAGUAACUGUUAACACUUUGACGGUAUUUAACCAGAAAGCCACGGCUAACUACGUGCCAGCAGCCGCGGUAAUACGUAGGUGGCAAGCGUUGUCCGGAUUUAUUGGGCGUAAAGCGAGCGCAGGCGGUUUUGUAAGUCUGCUGUGAAAGCCCUCAGCUCAACUGAGGAAGUGCAGUGGAAACUACAAAACUUGAGUACAGAAGAGGAAAGUGGAACUCCAUGUGUAGCGGUGAAAUGCGUAGAUAUAUGGAAGAACACCAGUGGCGAAGGCGGCUUUCUGGUCUGUUACUGACGCUGAGGCUCGAAAGCAUGGGUAGCGAACAGGAUUAGAUACCCUGGUAGUCCAUGCCGUAAACGAUGAAUACUAGGUGUUGGAGGGUUUCCGCCCUUCAGUGCCGCAGCUAACGCAUUAAGUAUUCCGCCUGGGGAGUACGACCGCAAGGUUGAAACUCAAAGGAAUUGACGGGGGCCCGCACAAGUGGUGGAGCAUGUGGUUUAAUUCGAUGCUACGCGAAGAACCUUACCAGCUCUUGACAUCUUCUGCCAACCCAAGAGAUUGGGCGUUCCCUUCGGGGACAGAAUGACAGGUGGUGCAUGGUUGUCGUCAGCUCGUGUCGUGAGAUGUUGGGUUAAGUCCCGCAACGAGCGCAACCCUUAUUAUUAGUUGCCAGCAUUUAGUUGGGCACUCUAGUGAGACUGCCGGUGAUAAACCGGAGGAAGGUGGGGACGACGUCAAAUCAUCAUGCCCCUUAUGAGCUGGGCUACACACGUGCUACAAUGGAUGGUACAACGAGUCGCGAAACCGCGAGGUCAAGCUAAUCUCUUAAAGCCAUUCUCAGUUCGGAUUGCAGGCUGCAACUCGCCUGCAUGAAGUUGGAAUCACUAGUAAUCGUGGAUCAGCAUGCCACGGUGAAUACGUUCCCGGGCCUUGUACAGCAC